CACGCAGCGAGACAGAUGAGCGGAAAGGUUCGAGACUCGCGAAAGACUUAACCAGUUCAGCUGCGGGAACGGAAGGAGGAGGACGUACGCCACGCGUGUCUGCUGAGGAAGCUGCCGGGCCACAGGCUGAAUGGCCGUAAGUCACGUGACUUUGACCAGACCGACACUUGAAGGCCUAAUGGACAGUGGCUCCUUGCUGCCAUCAUAUCUCUAGUCCUCAAGAACACAACAACCUUCUUGCACAAGUCUGGCCAGCUCAUCAGGAUCUAUCGCCACUCCAGAGACACACCAUCUCGCUAACAGUCUCAAGCAAUCUGCACCUUUGGGGCUCUAGAAGCCGUGCGCCAUGGUUCCAUGGCGGAAGAAGAAAACAUUAAAAAUCGUCAGUGCCAAGUUUCAGUGGAUGGGAGAAUGGCAUGUGGAGGCUGACUGAUGGGCAAAGGCAGACAAGCGAAGACCUGCAGCAAGCCAGCAGCGGCAAUGAGACGAGCCAGGGUGAUGCCGUGCUGCUGCCAGCCUCUGAUGCAGGUGGAGUCAUGCAGAUGAUGGAACAGUUCAGCCGUGACCAAGAAUGUGAAGUGACCUUCACAUGGGCCUUGUGACGAAGGGGGAUUACAUUUACUCCUCAGUUGAGGGAACACCUGAUGGCCGAGAUGUCAUUUCACAGCGUGCAAGGAGUCUCUUUACAAGCCAGUUUGUGUGGCUUGUUGUGGAAGAGAACACCUGCUGCCUGGUUCAACACUGCACUACAUCUGAAAGAUGCAGGAUUAUCAGCUCACAAAGCUCCUGGAAAUUAAAUGAAAAAUAACUUUUGUUUACAAAAAAACUGGAAUAUACAUU